CAAAUUAAAUUUUUAAAAAAUUUAAUUUAUUUACAAUAAAUUAGAAGUUGUUGAUUCAACUUAAUUUGA
rnacentral:tRNA from 1 species